AGUUUUUCAUUUAGUUCUUUCUUUCAUCUUUUUUGCUGAGGUUAUAUCUGAAUUGGUUACUGAAAUAAGUGCUAACAUGCAGAUUGUGCAAGCCUUCCAUCAUUUCAUACAUGUGUUGGCACUAAUGAGGAAAGGCUAACCCCAAAGUGGUAUAAGGAACAUGGGAUUGAAUUGGUUCUUGGAACUCAAGUCAAGUCAGCUGAUGUAAGGCGCAAGACUUUAUUGACAACAGCUGGGGAGACUGUUACAAGAUGUCAUUUGAAGUUCUUUGUUUUCAAGCCAAGUCAAGUCAAGUCAGCUGUCAUUUUAAGUUCUCUGUUUUCAUUCUUCACCACCCAUUAAGAAAGCUGCUCUUGGAAAUAUCCCAACCAUUGCCUUCUGUGACACUGAUUCACCAAUGCGACACGUUGAUAUUGGUAUCCCUGCCAACAACAAGGGGAAGCAUAGCAUAGGGUCUCUUUUGGCUCUUGGCAAGAAAGGUUCUGCAGAUGCGCGGUACUAUUCGUCCUGGACAUAAGUGGGAUGUGAUGAUUUGUUUUUCUAUCGUGAAUCUGAGGAGGCUAAGCAACAGAAGGAGGAAGAAGCAGUUGCCAUUCCCAAUUACGGACUCAUUGAUUAUUCUGCUCCUUCCCUUGCCUCUGACCAGUGGCCUGUUCAAGUUGCUGAUACUAAGUGGAGCCCUCAUGUUCAGCAUCCUAUCUCAGCAGUUCCUACUACUUGGGCCACAGAACCAGUUGCUUUAGCAGCAGGGGAUUGGGAUGCUGCUCCCGUGCCACCAGUGACCACCACUGUUAUUGAAGGUGCUGCUGCUCUAGCUUCUGGAUGGGGUGAAUGAAGUUAGAAAGCAAAAAAAAAAAAUUUUGAGUUAGCUUUCCAAGUUUGAUCAAUUUCUUUUGUGAUAUGAACAUUGUUUAUGGGCACAGCUUAGUGUAAUUUCAAGGAUUUUUGACUAUGUAGUUGGUGCCUUUAAGGGAUUUGCUUUAUUUUGAUCUGUUCAAGAAUCUAAUAUUCUCAAGCAAUGCAAAGACAUGCUUUAUCAGUCUCCUGAAUGCAA